rnacentral:rRNA from 1 species
AACGAACGUUGGCGGCGUGAAUUAGGCAUGCAAGUCGAACGAAUCCCGGUGGGGGGUAACUCUGCCGGGGGAAGUGGCGAAAGGGGCAGUAAGGCGUGGGUAACCUACCCCGGGACGGGGAUAGCCAUUCUAACGAGUGGGUAAUACCCGGCGAGCUGACGGGAGGGCAUCUUUCCGUCAGGAAAUGAGUUUCGCCUGGGGAGGGGCUCACGUGGUAUUAGCUUGUUGGUGAGGUAACGGCUCACCAAGGCUGAGAGCCUAGCGGGUGUGAGAGCACGACCCGCGCCACUGGCGACUGAGACACUGGCCAGACACCUACGGGUGGCUGCAGUCGAGGAUCUUCGGCAAUGGGCGCAA